rnacentral:rRNA from 1 species
AUUGAACGCUGGCGGCAGGCCUAACACAUGCAAGUCGAGCGAGCGGCGGACGGGGGAGUGAUGUCUGGGGAACUGCCUGAUGGAGGGGGAUAAAUACUGGAAAAGGUAGCUAAUAACGCAUACCAUCAGAUGUGCCCAGCUGGGAUUAGCUAGUAGGUGGGGUAAAGGCUCACCUAGGCGACGAUCCCUAGCUGGUCUGAGAGGAUGAACAGCCACACUGGAACUGAGACACGGUCCAGACUCCUACGUGAGGCAGCAGUGGGGAAUAUUGCACAAUGGGCGCAAGCCUGAUGCAGCCAUGCCGCGUGUGUGAAGAAGGCCUUCGGGUUGUAAAGCACUUGCAGCGGGGAGGCGUUACCCGCAGAAUAAGCACCGGCUAACUCCGUGCCAGCAGCCGCGGUAAUAC